AUUGAACGCUGGCGGAAUGCUUUACACAUGCAAGUCGAGCGGCAGCACGGGGGCAACCCUGGUGGCGAGCGGCGAACGGGUGAGUAAUACAUCGGAACAUGCCCAGUCGUGGGGGAUAACACUUCGAAAGAAGUGCUAAUACCGCAUACGUCCUGAGGGAGAAAGCGGGGGAUCUUCGGACCUCGCGCGAUUGGAGUGGCCGAUGUCAGAUUAGCUAGUUGGUGGGGUAAAGGCCUACCAAGGCAACGAUCUGUAGCUGGUCUGAGAGGAUGAUCAGCCACGCUGGGACUGAGACACGGCCCAGACUCCUACGGGAGGCAGCAGUGGGGAAUUUUGGACAAUGGGGGCAACCCUGAUCCAGCCAUUCCGCGUGAGUGAAGAAGGCCUUCGGGUUGUAAAGCUCUUUCGGCAGGAACGAAACGGCGAGCUCUAACAUAGCUUGCUAAUGACGGUACCUGAAGAAGAAGCACCGGCUAACUACGUGCCAGCCGCCGCCGUAACAC
rnacentral:rRNA from 1 species